GACGUAGGGCGCGGAGCGUUGUCCGGAUUUAUUGGGCGUAAAGAGCUGCGUAGGCGGCUUGUCGCGCGAAUGUGAAAUCCCGUGGCGUCAACUGCGGGUCUGCAUUCGAUACGGGCAGACUAGAGUGUGGUAGGGGAGACUGGAAUUCCUGGUGUAGCGGUGAAAUGCGCAGAUAUCAGGAGGAACACCGGUGGCGAAGGCGGAUCUCUGGGCCAUUACUGACGCUGGAGGAGCGAAAGCGUGGGGAGCGAACAGG
rnacentral:rRNA from 1 species